rnacentral:lncRNA from 1 species
UGCCGGUACUUCUAUCCUUGGCUGAGGCAGACGUGGUCGAGGAUGUGCCUGUGGCUUUGAUCCUGAGACUCCUCAUCAUAUUUCUGAUUCUGAUGCCUCCAGCCAUGAUAUUUUAUUAGAUCUAGCAUAGUUAGUCUUUUAUGUCUAGGAUCUAGCUUAUGGCCUUUGUAUUUGUUGACUGAUUGACUCAUGGAAAGUUGUAUUUUUUGUUACCCAUGACUUUUGUAUGGCCUAUAUAUUUUGACUUGACUCUUAUGUAUUGUGACACUUAAGU